UAAAAAAAAAACUGCUUUUAUGUGGGGAUAAAGUGAGCUACGUGUAGUUUAUUGCAGGUACCACAUGAAUAAGGACCGGCUAAUUCCGUGCCAGCAGCCGCGGUAAUACGGAAGGUCCAGGCGUUAUCCGGAUUUAUUGUGUUUAAAGUGAGCGUAUGCCGUGGAUUAAGCGUGUUGUGUCAUGUAGACGCUCAACGUCUGAAUUGCAGCGCGAACUGGUUCA
rnacentral:rRNA from 1 species